rnacentral:rRNA from 1 species
GACGAACGCUGGCGGCGUGCUUAACACAUGCAAGUCGAACGGAAAGGCCUGCUUUCCCUUGUGGAUUGCGGGUACUCGAGUGGCGAACGGGUGAGUAACACGUGAGUGAUCUGCCCCCAACUUGGGUAUAAGCCUGGGAAACUGAGUCUAAUUCCCGAUAGGACUGCAGGGUGGUGCCUGUGGUGGAAAACGAUUUUCUAGUGGUUGGGGAUGAGCUCGCGGCCUAUCAGCUUGUUGGUGGGGUAAUGGCCUACCAAGGCGGCGACGGGUAGCCGGCCUGAGAGGGUGGACGGCCACAUUGGGACUGAGAUACGGCCCAGACUCCUACGGGAGGCAGCAGUGGGGAAUAUUGCACAAUGGGCGGAAGCCUGAUGCAGCGACGCCGCGUGGGGGAUGACGGCCUUCGGGUUGUAAACUCCUUUCGACCGCGAGGAAGCCACCUGGUUGGAAGGGUGGUGACGGUAGUGGUAGAAGAAGCACCGGCUAACUACGU